rnacentral:pre_miRNA from 1 species
CCAAAAUUCUUGUCUUAGAUUUGUCUAGAUACGGAUGUAUCAAGUCACAUUUUAGUAUUAGAUACAUCCGUAUCUAGACAAAUCUAAGACAAGAAAUUUGG